UACGAAGGGGGGCUAGCGUUGCUCGGAAUUACUGGGCGUAAAGGGCGCGUAGGCGGAUGUCUAAGUUGGGGGUGAAAGCCCGGGGCUCAACCUCGGAAUAGCCUUCAAUACUGGAUAUCUUGAGUUCGGGAGAGGUGAGUGGAAUGCCGAGUGUAGAGGUGAAAUUCGUAGAUAUUCGGCGGAACACCAGUGGCGAAGGCGACUCACUGGCCCGAUACUGACGCUGAGGCGCGAAAGCGUGGGUAGCAAACAGG
rnacentral:rRNA from 1 species